rnacentral:rRNA from 1 species
ACUUAAAUCGAAGAGUUUGAUCAUGGCUCAGAUUGAACGCUGGCGGCAGGCCUAACACAUGCAAGUCGAACGGUAGCACAGAGAGCUUGCUCUCGGGUGACGAGUGGCGGACGGGUGAGUAAUGUCUGGGAAACUGCCUGAUGGAGGGGGAUAACUACUGGAAACGGUAGCUAAUACCGCAUAACGUCGCAAGACCAAAGAGGGGGACCUUCGGGCCUCUUGCCAUCAGAUGUGCCCAGAUGGGAUUAGCUAGUAGGUGGGGUAACGGCUCACCUAGGCGACGAUCCCUAGCUGGUCUGAGAGGAUGACCAGCCACACUGGAACUGAGACACGGUCCAGACUCCUACGGGAGGCAGCAGUGGGGAAUAUUGCACAAUGGGCGCAAGCCUGAUGCAGCCAUGCCGCGUGUAUGAAGAAGGCCUUCGGGUUGUAAAGUACUUUCAGCGGGGAGGAAGG